GAAAUACUGUUUAAGGAAAGGGAGUACUUGUGGCACCUUAGAGACUAGCCAGUUUGUUUGAGCGUGAGCUUUCGUGGGCUGCAGCUCACUUCAUCGGAUGCGUACUGUGGAGGCUGCAGAGGACAUUGUAUACAUAGAGACCAUGAGGCGGUGCCUCCUCCCACCCCACUCUCCUGCUGGUGGUGGCUUGUCUGGAGUGAUCAUCAAGUUGGGCCAUUUCCGGCUCGGAUCCGGGUUUUCUCGCCCUCCGCCCCCCCACACGCAGACUCGCUCUCCUGCUGGUAAUGGCCCAUCCAGGGUGACCACUCUCUUCACGGUGUGUGUGGUGGUCGGAGUGGGCCAUUUCCUGCACGGGUCCAGGUUCUCUCACGCCCUCACCCCCCUCC